rnacentral:rRNA from 1 species
AUUGAACGCUGGCGGCAGGCCUAACACAUGCAAGUCGAGCGAGCGGCGGACGGGUGAGUAAUGUCUGGGAAACUGCCUGAUGGAGGGGGAUAACUACUGGCAACGGUGGCUAAUACCGCAUACUAUCGGAUGAACCCAUAGGGGAUUAGCUAGUAGGUUGGGUAAAGGCUCACCUAGGCGACGAUCGCUAGCUGGUCUGAGAGGAUGAUCAGCCACACUGGUACUGAGACACGGGCCAGACUCCUACGUGAGGCAGCAGGGGGGAAUAUUGCACAAUGGGCGCAAGCCUGAUGCAGCCAUGCCGCGUGUAUGAAGAAGGCCUUAGGGUUGUAAAGUACUUUCAGCGGGGAGGCGUUACCCGCAGAAGAAGCACCGGCUAACUCCGUGCCAGCAGCCGCGGUAAUAC